rnacentral:lncRNA from 10 species
UAUUACUUUGAAACAUAUAUAUUACUGUCCAACAUACAUCAUAUAACACUGAUUGAUGUAAAUUUUGGUACCUUCAUUUAUUCAGUUGUGAUUUCCCUUUUGUUCAAGGCUCCUGAAGAAAAUUAUCUGAAAUGCCCACCAGAGGGGAGGUGCCCAUGGGCUUGGUCCCCUUGGUGACUUGGCUGUGCUGUUGGGCACUACUGAGGCCCUAGAGCCCUGCUCCAUGGAGCUGAAGGCAAAUCCCCACCUUGCUGGGGGACCUGGGGACACAGAAUUGAUGGAACCCACCUCCGUCGGUCACACAUCAAUUGCUCAUCUUCUCCCUCUCUCUCCAUCUGGGUAUAAACAGGGAGGGAGGUGAGGGGGAACAAGUGUCAGUUAUCUUCUUAACCCUCCUCUGGGCUGAAGAGGAGGGUUAAGAGAAAUGAUGUUUUCCCUUUCACCCCCCUUUCUUCUCUGCCCAUGUUACCACUACUGCGGGAAGAAAGUAUGAGAAGGAGGAGCUGGCUCUUAAUGCAGUUUAGAAAGAAACGGGAAGUGAAGCAAAAAUGGGGCUUCUGUGCUCUUAGGCUGAAUUUGAGUUACCAUGAUCCUGAGAUAAAUCAGACAACUGCUUUUGGGCAUGGCCUAUGAUGCCUCAUUCAUCACUAUCUCCCGCACAGUGCCUUACACCUAGUAGGCACUUAAUGCAUGCUCUUUGCAUGGAUGAAUAAAUGAAUGCAGGGGAUCUGAUGACUACAGACAGAAAACACACAUUUCAGAAUCAGAGUGUUUGAGAGAUGAAAGGGGACAUUGGAAAUCAUCUAGAUCUGCUUCCUCAUUUGGCAUAUGGGGAAACUGAGGCCCACAGAAAUGAGAAACGAUCAAGGUCAAAUGACUAGUUCCUGAUAGAGUCAGACCUGGAAUCAGAUUUUCUAAAUCUCUCCUUAAAUUUCCCACCCUCUUCAGAUCUGGAACAAUAAAGAGAGCUCAGUGGGCUCAGUGCUAUGCCCUGGACUCAGGACCCUCAUAUGCCAGUGUGGGGACCCCUGGUGGUGGCCGAAUAGAGCACAAGCAGAGAAGCCCCCUUUGGGCAACUUCACUUCUGGGAUCUGGUCCCAGUAGGUAAACAGGAUGGCAGCAGUGGAUCUGAAUGAGAAAAGAUACUUAGGCAUGGGAAG